rnacentral:rRNA from 1 species
GUGCACCAGGCGCGAAAACUUUACAAUGCGGGAAACCGUGAUAAGGGAAUCUCGAGUGCCAGCAUAUAAUGUUGGCUGUCCAGAUGCCUAAAAAGCAUCUGUUAGCAAGGGCCGGGCAAGACCGGUGCCAGCCGCCGCGGUAACACCGGCGGCCCGAGUGGUAACCGUUUUUAUUGGGUCUAAAGGGUCUGUAGCCGGCCAUGUAAGUCCCUUGGGAAAUCUGGCAGCUCAACUGUCAGGCUGCUAGGGGAUACUGCUUGGCUUGGGACCGGGAGAGGUGAGAGGUACCUUGAGGGUAGGGGUGAAAUCUUGUGAUCCUCGGGGGACCACCAGUGGCGAAGGCGUCUCACCAGAACGGGUCCGACGGUAAGGGACGAAAGCUAGGGGCACGAACCGGAUUAGAUACCCAAGUAGUCC